rnacentral:rRNA from 1 species
GAUGAACGCUGGCGGCGUGCCUAAUACAUGCCAGUCGAGCGAACAGACGAGGAGCUUUCUCCUCUGACGUUAGCGGCGGACGGGUGAGUAACACGUGGAUAACCUACCUAUAAGACUGGGAUAACUUCGGGAAACCGGAGCUAAUACCGGAUAAUAUAUUGAACCGCAUGGUUCAAUAGUGAAAGACGGUUUUGCUGUCACUUAUAGAUGGAUCCGCGCCGCAUUAGCUAGUUGGUAAGGUAACGGCUUACCAAGGCGACGAUGCGUAGCCGACCUGAGAGGGUGAUCAGCCACACUGGAACUGAGACACGGUCCAGACUCCUACGGGAGGCAGCAGUAGGGAAUCUUCCACAAUGGGCGAAAGCCUGACGGAGCAACGCCGCGUGAGUGAUGAAGGUCUUCGGAUCGUAAAACUCUGUUAUUAGGGAAGAACAAAUGUGUGAGUAACUAUGCACGUCUUGACGGUACCUAAUCAGAAAGCCACGGCUAACUACGUG